AGGAGGGGUUUGGUUUUCCUAGCUAUUGAAUUUUUGAUUUGUUGUAGCGUUUUGGAUUGUGAGUUUGGGUUUGUUUUGUGAACAGGAGAGAUCCAAGAUUGGGGUAGCAUUUUGUUUUGUGAAUUUCAAUUUGGUUUCUAUCAGAACGAUUGACAAGGGUGAAAAUUUGGGUUGUGAUUUUGUUUUUGAAAUUUGAAGUGUUUUUGAUUAAAUUGUUCAUAGAUUGAAUUUUGCUUGGUAAGAUUUCAGCUUAGUAAAAUCAACAUUAGUAUCAUAAUUAUUCAUCUUUUGCUCAUAUACCCAAAACGAUUACCUUUAAUUCACCGUUUGUUUUCAUGUUUUCAGCUGUAGUAACUGAUUUCUCAGCUUUUACAAUCUUUCAAAACAAAAGCUUUCAUUGUUUGUUUCUUUUGUUUAUCGAAGUUCAUCUAAUUCCAUGAUUCAUAUACGAAAUUGGGUUUUAUUCUGUAGCCUUGGUUCUAGCUUUUGAAUAGUUCCAAGAACCAAAGUUUGUUUGUUUUUUUUUUUUUUUUUAACACUCUUAGACAGAGAGAAUAAAGUAGAACAAACAAAAGAAAUCCGGUUCUUAAUCUGGUUUUGGGCAAUCAAUUAUAGAAUUAAUCAUAAUGUUACUUCGGUAAUGUUGAAAGAUUUUGGUUUUGUUUAUCCUGUAUUGAAUGAAUUUAAUCAUAAUGUCAAUUUCUUUUCAGUUUCUUCAGAGCUAAUUGCCUUUUUGGGUUUUCUUUGCAGCUCAAAACUUGAAGGAAGGCCACCAAGUUGCAGGCUCUCACACAAAGUUGCUGGGGUGGGAAAGAGAAGAGGGUGGAUUCAAUUGUGGUGGACUUCGGGGGCAGGGUUUGGGUUUGUUUCUGGAGAGGUGGAUUCGAAAAUUUUGACCGAGUUUGGGGGAUAGUUGUCAGCAGGAAAAGAGGAAAUAGCCGCCUCUGUUGUAGAUAGUGACAAUCCAAUUGGUCAUAUAAUUUUCACAACCAUAGGAGGCAAAAAUGGAGAGCCCAAACAGGUUCUUUUACCUUGCAGACCAUUAGUUAUAUAGCAGAACCUGUUCUGGGAACUGGAUCAUUUGAAAUUGUUUUUCAGGCUGUGGCUAUAAAGAAGGUUUUACAAUGCAGAUUCAAAGAAGUGAGCUCUCUAUUCAGACCAAACACUAAUGGUAAUGAGUUUCCACUUUCAAAUGCAAGCAUUCAAGAGUAUGUCCCUAGCUGGAAAGCAAAUUUGAUGGAGAAGUACAAGAGAAAGCCAUCAAGGAAUUGUUUGAGAAGUUAAAAGACAUAGGAGACGAGGACAUCCGCGCCUUCCAUUGACAACAGCAACAAUUUGGAACCUUCUAGACAUGGUAAUGGUGUUUACUAUUUGGCCUAGAUUUUGCUAAGAUGUAUCAUUACUUACAAAGCUGGAAGUCUCAUAAUAAAUACUCCAUUAUUUUUACUCUUCUUCUUCUACUUUGUUCGACACAUACAGACUGUCAAUUUUGCUGAGUUAUUCCUUUAUUUUGGAAGUCUCAUAAUAAAUACUCCAUUAUUUUUACUCUUCUU